rnacentral:rRNA from 1 species
UACGUAGGGGGCAAGCGUUGUCCGGAAUCAUUGGGCGUAAAGAGCGUGUAGGCGGCCAGAUAAGUCCGCUGUGAAAUCUCGAGGCUCAACUUCGAGCUGUCGGUGGAAACUGUCUGGCUAGAGUCCGGAAGAGGAGAAUGGAAUUCCUGGUGUAGCGGUGAAAUGCGCAGAUAUCGGGAGGAACACCAGCGGCGAAGGCGGCACUCUGGGCUGGUACUGACGCUGAGGAGCGAAAGCGUGGGUAGCAAACAGG